GAUGAAGUACGUAGCGAAAUGCGAUAAGUAAUGUGAAUUGCAGAAUUCAGUGAAUCAUCGAAUCUUUGAACGCAUCUUGCGCUCCUUGGUAUUCUGAGGAGCAUGCCUGUUUGAGUGUCAUUAAAUUCUCAACCGCACUGACUUUGAAUUGGUGUGGCUUGGAUUUGGGGGGAAAAUUGUUGUGGGCUUUUUUGUAUAGUCUGCUCCCCUGAAAUUGAUUAGCGGUACCUUUGUGGAACUGUCUACAGGUGUGAUAAUUAUCUACAUCCUAGACAUCUGCUGGAAUGCUGCUUUCUAAACCUUACUUGUAUUGACAAUCUUGACCUCAAAUCAGGUAGGACUACCCGCUGAACUUAAGCAUAUCAAUAAGCGGAGA
rnacentral:misc_RNA from 1 species